CCUACGGGUGGCAGCAGUGAGGAAUAUUGCUCAAUGGGCGCGAGCCUGAACCAGCCACGUCGCGUGAGGGAAGACGGUCCUAUGGAUUGUAAACCUCUUUUGUCGGGGAGCAAAAGACGCCUAGCGUGGCGUUCCGAGCGUACUCGACGAAAAAGCAUCGGCUAACUCCGUGCCAUCAGCCGCGGUAAUACGGGGGAUGCGAGCGUUAUCCGGAUUUAUUGGGUUGAAAGGGUGCGUAGGUUGUUUUUUAAGUCCGCGGGGAAAGUCUGGGGCUCAACCAUAAAAUUGCCGUUGAAACUGGAAGACUUGAGUGUAGUUGAGGUAGGCGGAAUGCGUGGUGUAGCGGUGAAAUGCGUAGAUAUCACGCAGAACACCAAUGGCGAAGGCGGCUUACUAGGCCAUAACUGACGCUGAAGCACGAAAGCGUGGGGAUCAAACAGGAUUAGAUACCCCAGUAGUC
rnacentral:rRNA from 1 species